AUACGUAGGGGGCGAGCGUUGUCCGGAAUGAUUGGGCGUAAAGGGCGCGUAGGCGGCUUUGCAAGUCAGUAGUGGAAGUCCAUUUUUCAAGGAUGGAAGUGCUACAGAAACUGCGGAGCUUGAGUGCAGGAGAGGUUAUCGGAAUUCCCGGUGUAGCGGUGAAAUGCGUAGAGAUCGGGAGGAACAGCAGUGGCGAAGGCGGGUAACUGGACGAUAACUGACGCUGAGGCGCGAAAGCGUGGGGAGCAAACAGGAUUAGAUACCCUGGUAGUCCACGCCGUAAACGAUGGAUACUAGGUGUGGGGGGUCUGACCCCCUCCGUGCCGCAGCUAACGCAAUAAGUAUCCCACCUGGGGAGUACGAUCGCAAGGUUGAAACUCAAAUGAAUUGACGGGG
rnacentral:rRNA from 1 species